rnacentral:lncRNA from 1 species
GUCAUAGAGGAACUACAUCUUCCAGAACCCUCGCGCCCUGCGUCGUGCUGGCACUUUUACCGGCCGGGCCUUAGAGCGCAGCCUGUAGCCGGGCGCCAUCUUUGACGCUGGCAGUCUUGGUUUUCUGCUAGUGCUGCUGCUGCUGGGAGGACGACGGACGGCAGCGGCCAAGCAAGAAGAAAGACGUGGCAGCAAGCGGGAGUCGGGGAUAGUGUCAUCGGUUCGGGUCCCACUACUUUGGAGCUUGUCUCAAACUCCACAUACAGAAAGCCACCAACCUUAUUCCGGUAUCCUACACCCAUUCCCCACCCUCAUUACACUCCCACCCCUGGCCCUCAGCAUGGGAGUCAAGAGCAACAGGGACACUUCCGUACUCCUUGUAGGAUUGGUGAAACCGUAAUGAAGAACACCCCUAAACUCCCAUAAUUGGUGCGGAUUCCUGUGGGGAAGGCCUAUACUGUUGACAUCUUCCAGGCCAUCUCAAGGUUCUGGACCUUGAGAAGGAGGCUGUGGAACUAGAGAUAGUGAUGCUUUUUAGGAUUUGGGGAUAUUCCCUGCCCAAAAAAUUCCUGGAAAAUUGACUAGUAUUAAGUGUGAAGAAAUCUUGAAGACCAGAAAUUGGAUCUUACUGAAAAAUGUUUUUUUGUUUUUCAGAUUAUAUUGUUCAGCUAUGGAAGAUGGAUUUUUUUUCAUGAUCCUUUGACUCUCAAGUUCAUCUUUAAAUGAACUCUUUUUUUUGUUUUGUUUUUGAGGAGAUAACUAACCCUUGCUGUCUCCAGUCUGACAAAGGUUAUUUGAAUGGACUUAAUCUCCCAGUAGUUGGGAGAUGUUUUAAAAACACAUGCUGUGUUUGAAUUGUGGCUGAGAGGUUUUCUUGGCAAUGUGAGGAGGAAAAUUUUUUCUGCCUCAUUAUUAUUAAUUCAUGGAUUGAGUGUUGGUUCGACCUACAGGCAUAAUAGAUUGGAACUCAGUGAAGACACAGACGUUCCUGUUGAGAGCAACCAGCUAAUGAUUACAGUUUAAAGACAAUUUCUGUGAUCAAGUUGUCAUUUGGAAGAUUAAACCCAUUUCACGAGGACUUGGAGCCUGGUCCUUGCUUUGAGGAAGCAGUGGCUUGUUUCAAGAAGCCACUUCUGAUCUAAGAAUCUACCCAGCAUGCCUAAUCAAGGAGAAGACUGCUAUUUUUUUUUCUAUUCUACAUGUACCAAAGGUGACAGCUGCCCAUUCCGUCACUGUGAAGCUGCACUAGGCAAUGAAACUGUUUGCACAUUAUGGCAAGAAGGGCGCUGUUUUCGACGGGUGUGCAGGUUUCGGCACAUGGAGAUUGAUAAAAAACGCAGUGAAAUUCCUUGUUAUUGGGAAAAUCAGCCAACAGGAUGUCAAAAAUUAAACUGCGUUUUCCAUCACAAUAGAGGACGAUAUGUUGAUGGCCUUUUCCUACCUCCGAGCAAAACUGUGUAGCCCA